rnacentral:rRNA from 1 species
CCUACGGGAGGCUGCAGUGGGGAAUAUUGGGCAAUGGGCGCAAGCCUGACCCAGCAACGCCGCGUGAAGGAAGAAGGCUUUCGGGUUGUAAACUUCUUUUAAGAGGGAAGAGCAGAAGACGGUACCUCUUGAAUAAGCCACGGCUAACUACGUGCCAGCAGCCGCGGUAAUACGUAGGUGGCAAGCGUUGUCCGGAUUUACUGGGUGUAAAGGGCGUGCAGCCGGGAAGACAAGUCAGAUGUGAAAGCCCGCGGCUUAACCGCGGAACUGCAUUUGAAACUGUUUUUCUUGAGUACCGGAGAGGUCAGCGGAAUUCCUUGUGUAGCGGUGAAAUGCGUAGAUAUAAGGAAGAACACCAGUGGCGAAGGCGGAUGACUGGACGGCAACUGACGGUGAGGCGCGAAAGCGUGGGGAGCAAACAGGAUUAGAUACCCGAGUAGUC